ACAAUUUUUUUGAGGGGGAGAAAAUGUAAAGAUUAAUUGAUGAUUUUUUUUAAAGUAAGUAAAUAGACUGGCAAUGUUGAAAUGAUUAUAUAAAUGACCUUGUAGUGUAGAUGUAUGUUACCAUACUUACUAUGUAUUAAUAGUUGUAGUGGCAUAAAUAGUUGUAUUUAUGUAUGUAAGGACUUUGACAUUUGACAAAUGACGAGACGUCAUUUACCAGAGAGGGGGAGUGUGUGGCAGGGUCUUAUUUAGUGGUCUAAGCCCUAUUCAUUAUUUAUUUAGUUAUCUUCAACCUUGGUUUUAUCUCCAUUCUGAUUGGUUGAUAAAACUACUCACUCAAGUAGAGCGCGGUGUUUGAUACUUGUGGAAGACAUGUUGAUUUAUUUUGGAAUGGAAAUGAUUUAACUAUUUGUGGGUUACUAAAUUUGGUAUGUAUUUUAUUUGUUUAAUGUAUUCAUAUAUGCAGUAUACUUUAUUCUUCAUGUGGAGUUGUUAGCAUUUAAGUAAAUGCUUUCUGUAAGCGUCUGUGACUCAUUUUAUUUAUUGACAUAAAGCGAUUAUACAUGUACUUCAAAAUGGCAGUAUUUACUCUAACAAUUAUUAAUAAUAAUAUAACAUCUUAACAAUGUCACAUUCCUGAAACCUGUGCACGUGAUUCUUAUUUUGAUUGCAGUUUAACAGUUGAAGGGUAUGCACAGUUCACGGGAGAGUGUUGUUUGUGUGAGCAGGUCCAUAACUUGGUCACUGACUAUACCACUUUAUUCGACUGCUGUAAUGCUGUAUACUGUGUACUUUUAUGAUAGACUGUAAUGUAUUUGAACUUAAGUGAACAGUGACACAUUUACAAUUUAAAGAAAAUAAAAGAAGAACCCAGAAA